UCGACCUCGGAUCAGGUAGGGAUACCCGCUGAACUUAGCAUAUCAUUUAGGCGGAGGAAAAAAACCAACAGGGAUUGCUCAG
rnacentral:rRNA from 1 species